UACGAAGGGGGCUAGCGUUGCUCGGAAUCACUGGGCGUAAAGGGUGCGUAGGCGGGUCUUUAAGUCAGGGGUGAAAUCCUGGAGCUCAACUCCAGAACUGCCUUUGAUACUGAGGAUCUUGAGUUCGGAAGAGGUGAGUGGAACUCCGAGUGUAGAGGUGAAAUUCGUAGAUAUUCGCAAGAACACCAGUGGCGAAGGCGGCUCACUGGCCCGGUACUGACGCUGAGGUGCGAAAAGCGUGGGGAGCAAACAGGG
rnacentral:rRNA from 1 species